rnacentral:rRNA from 1 species
UACGUAGGGUGCGAGCGUUAAUCGGAAUUACUGGGCGUAAAGCGUGCGCAGGCGGUUCGUUGUGUCGGCGGUGAAAGCCCCGGGCUUAACCUGGGAAUGGCCGUUGAAACUGGCGAACUGGAGUGUGGCAGAGGGGGGUGGAAUUCCGCGUGUAGCGGUGAAAUGCGUAGAUAUCUGGAGGAACACCGGUGGCGAAGGCGGCAUCCUGGACCAACACUGACGCUGAUGAGCGAAAGCCAGGGGAGCAAACGGG